GGGUCCUACGGCCGCAGCCGGUCUCGCCGCUCGGCGCCGCGGGGCCGAGCGCAGGAAGCUCCGCGGAGUGCGCUACGCCACCAGGGACGCGCCAGUCCAGCCUCUGUGGUUGAAAGCAGCUAAGGCAGCGGGAGACGGGCGCACGGGCAACACCAGGAGCAGCUGGAGGAGGAUCGGUGGCGCGGACUCUGCAGGUCGCUGUUGAGCCCCUGCCCUUGCCCUUCUCCUCCUCGCUGUGGAUGGGCCCGCUGCACGUGGAGGGAAAAGGACGCGCGGCAGAAGUUACCACCCCCUCCCCCCAAACACACCACCACCACCACCACCAACACGUUUCUGGGUCGGAGAAGUCUCUCUGUUGGGGGCAGUGCUGAUCUCUGGACAUGAGACUAUGAGCUGUCCGUUAGAUAAGGACCACCGUAAGCAAGAGGCCGCAUGGUGGUUCUCCAGCUGCCGGUCCCAGAUCUCUCACCAUCUCAGGCCAGGAACCAGGGAGUGAGUAAAGAAGUGUUUUGGAGAGGGUUCUCUAGCCCUAUCCCGUUCCUCAGCCAUGCUGGCCACACCCUGCCUUUUCAGUCCUACCAGCUAAGGACACCAUGAAGCAAAGAAGAGCCAUCUCUGUUGUGCCCUUUCCAAAUUCCUGAUCCACAAAAUCCAUGAUAAAAUUAUUUUAUGCUGUUAAAGUUUGCAUGGCUUUCUACGAAGCAAUAAAUAACCAGGAUACCCACUAACCAACUACGCUUGAGAACGC